UGCACGGUAGCGCAGCUGGUAGCACUGUUGCCUCCUUGCAGCCAGAGGGUCCUGGGUUCGAUUCCCGGCCGGGGGUCUUUCUGCAU